rnacentral:rRNA from 1 species
CAGUCGAGGGGCAGCAUGAACUUAGCUUGCUAAGUUUGAUGGCGACCGGCGCACGGGUGAGUAACACGUAUCCAACCUGCCGAUGACUCGGGGAUAGCCUUUCGAAAGAAAGAUUAAUACCCGAUGGCAUAAUUCUUCCGCAUGGUAGAAUUAUUAAAGAAUUUCGGUCAUCGAUGGGGAUGCGUUCCAUUAGGUUGUUGGCGGGGUAACGGCCCACCAAGCCUUCGAUGGAUAGGGGUUCUGAGAGGAAGGUCCCCCACAUUGGAACUGAGACACGGUCCAAACUCCUACGGGAGGCAGCAGUGAGGAAUAUUGGUCAAUGGACGAGAGUCUGAACCAGCCAAGUAGCGUGAAGGAUGACUGCCCUAUGGGUUGUAAACUUCUUUUAUACGGGAAUAAAGUGAGGCACGUGUGCCUUUUUGUAUGUACCGUAUGAAUAAGGAUCGGCUAACUCCGUGCCAGCAGCCGCGGUAAUACGGAGGAUCCGAGCGUUAUCCGGAUUUAUUGGGUUUAAAGGGAGCGUAGGCGGACGCUUAAGUCAGUUGUGAAAGUUUGCGGCUCAACCGUAAAAUUGCAGUUGAUACUGGGUGUCUUGAGUACAGUAGAGGCAGGCGGAAUUCGUGGUGUAGCGGUGAAAUGCUUAGAUAUCACGAAGAACUCCGAUUGCGAAGGCAGCCUGCUGGACUGUAACUGACGCUGUUGCUCGAAAGUGUGGGUAUCAAACAGGAUUAGAUACCCUGGUAGUCCACACAGUAAACGAUGAAUACUCGCUGUUUGCG